AGCUAAUCAUUUUAAUCAUUGCCAUACUGGGUCUGUCUUUCAUAACAUCAUUGAAUUUUAUAUGAGAGAAUUGGGUCCAAAUCUGUCUGAUAACUUUAGAGCCAGCCUGUUAUGAGAACUAGUCUGUAGACACAUAAAAAAAACCUGCUUUCAUUAUUCUUCAUCAAGCUUAUCAAACCUCUUGUGUUUGUUAAAGGAUGUGGCAAACAUGACCAUUCUAUUUCUGAAACUGUUGUGUGGUUUCCCUGGAAAAGCUCCCUAAUAGUUUGGAUGAAUAGAAACUUCAUUGGGCUUUCCCAAGGAUAAAAUCCUUGUCCUGGAAAAACUGUGUUUAAAUACUGUCGACUGAAGCAUACGAAGUAAGAAUUAGCUCCGAUAAAGGGUCCUGGGUUUUAAUUCAGGUUAAGAUUGUCUAUUCUUACACCCUGUUGACUUAAACAAAGGGAUUUUAUGGCAUUUUUCUAUACUCUAUUCCAUCAUCAGUGUGUUUAAGAUAUAUUCAUUGAUUUAACAGAGUCUCAGGAUGUUUAACUGGGUGGUGAAGGUUGUGCCACAUCCUCCUGAUACACAGGAAGAUCUGGGGGAGGAGGCGAUCACAUCGAUAAGUUCAGUUCAUCCAAAACAUGCAGGGAGGAAGACCAAUCAUCUCAAACAUCAAAAGAUAGGUGAGUCUUAACCGAUCUUUCCCAUAAAGUAUACAAAAAGACAUUCUCCAACUGUCUGCACAUGAAACAUGCUGAAAUCUGUUUGUUUCAGUGUUCAGAGUGGUAUGUUGAACUGGAUCUCCAACGGUUUUGCAAGCACACUGCCCCAGCCCGGGAGUCCUCUUCUUACGAGAGCCAACUCUGAUGCAAAAGUAUUUAUUUCAUGUCAUCUAAAGUAGUUUGAUAUUUAAUACCAUUUGGUGUUGCAUAUUAGUGUGCAUUCAAAGCAAAUUUUUUCUUUGCACAUUAACUUUUCUCUUAACCAUCUUGCAGUCGCUUCAGAAUGAAGGUUCUGUAGACAGGUAAGGUGAUGAACAGUAUUCCUAUCAUGUACAUCAGUCCACUGAGGAAUCAUUGUCCAUGAAGUGUGUUUGCAGCACACACAAACACACACUAACAGCGUGAGCGCUCUCUGUCUGCCAGGGCUGGAGUUAUUGGCUGGAUCUCACAGGGAAUUGGAAAAGUGGUCCCACAGCCUGAUGGGAAAUACAUACAGGAAAAGACAACAGAAUCUGAAGACGUCACAGAGGUUAGCAAACUAUGUGCAAGACUUAUUAGAAUAUUAGAAAUAACCAAAAAAGAAAAAUAUAAUCUAAAUUAUAUUAUUA
ensembl:lncRNA